UUCAACAUCCUCGGGUAUAUCUGACUUUGUGCUCAACUUAUCGUAUAAAUUGUAGGCCCAUGUGGCCCCUUGUAGAAUGACUUUUCAAUAACGGAACUCGUUUGAGUAAUUGGUUCACAACCUGUUUAAGAAUGCAUGUAGUUGUCGAGGAAGUCCAUCCAGGGACAGAGUAUGAGUUGAAAGACAUCGGUAGGAUAUGAUAUAGGGUUGAAUGGGGUAAUUGUAGCCCCGGUUUAUAUGUAGCCCCUGCAGUGUUUGAUGCAUGGGGAUAUCAAUCAAUGUCAUUAGCAGGGGCUACAAUUAAACCGGGGCUACAAUUACCCCAGUCUACCAUAUCUUUCGCCUGUAUUUUCUUCUGAUUCGACUCUGCACCUUAUCGAAGAACAUUACACAAUAACCAAGGACUUACGUGCGAUAUGAGUAUAUCGGUUCAUCUUUCUUUCGGCUAUUUGGCAGUGGUGAAAGAUUCUGUCCAACCUAUGUUUGAGAACGGCAUGUGUCAGCCAAUCACCGUCGUCCUCUUUCAUGGCACUUGGCAACUGGAAGUUGAAGACCCGGAUGUUGCUACCAAUUUGCCGAAUUCAUGCGGAUUUCGUGUUGCAUGUUGUGGGAUUCAUCAUGGCAUGCAGCAAACGGGUCUGUGGGAGCCAUGGGGUCUGCCUCAAACGCGCACCAAAGAAUGAACAACAAGUCCAGGUUCUAUUGAUACGGUUUACUGAAAAAAGUAGAAAAACAAAUAAGUGACGAUACAGAAAGUAAACAAAGGAAGAAACACAUUCAAGCAAUGACAACAACAACGAUGACCUCAAGAACUGUCCCCUGGCCCAGUGCCAAAGUUGAAUACACACCACGUAAUUACCAUUAUAAUUGAAAGAACCAAUACUAGAGCCCAAUGCUCAUAGAGACACAGAGUUACCUAAAUUACGUAACAAUUGGCCCAAUGCCAACAACUGUACUCAAACUAACACAACAGGCUCCCCAAAGAUUGCAUAAUCACGUGACCCACAUACAACCCAAACAUGAGUUAAACGGACUAGAACAGGUGUAAA